rnacentral:lncRNA from 1 species
AUGGCUGGAAGGUGCCGCCGAGCGCAUUCGGGCUGGGCGGAAGGUAGUUUUCAGGCGGCGCCUGAACACGGGAGUGUGGAGAAUUACAUAAACAGCCAGUUCUCAUUAGAUUUCUGCUCACAGCGCCCGGAGCCCAAGCGCUACGGCGGCAGCUACAGCAGGAGGAGGUGGAGGAGGAGGAAGAGUACGAGCUCCCGGGGAGGAGGAGGAGGAAGGGGACAACGACGACGAAGGCCACGGGAAGGGGAAAGGCCAGCUCCCGCGGCCGGGCACCGGGCACCGGGCAGGUCCGGCGCCGCCGGUCAGCCGCUCCCCUCCCCCCGCCGUAACCUGACCCGCCUCUCCCCGCCCCCGCCCCCCGCCCGAGGCUCCUGGGACCCGGCCAGGGCCCGGGGAGCACCGGCUCCCCGGCACCAUUUUCGGCCUCAGCGGCCACCGGCCCCUCACACCCCAGCGUUGCCCGCGAGCUCGCCGCCCCUCCCGGGAGCCCCAACCCCCGAUUCCGGCGGCACGCCCCGGGCCUCCCUUCCCGGUCACCCGCCGGGCCCCCGCCGAGCCCGACGCCUCGGGGCCGGGCGUCCGGAGCCGCUCCCGUCGGGUCCCGGGAGCUGUCCGUCCGCGCCCACGGCCGCGAAGCCGCCGUCCCCGAGCCCCCCACCCCCACCCCACCCCGAGGGCCCGGGGCUCGACGACGCUGCAGCCCCUCCUUCGGCGCCCCGGUCUGGGCUCCCGUCUCCCUGCCGCCCGCCGCCUCGCCGAUACUUACGGGCUGCUGCGGGGUUGCGUCCACCACAGACUGGCGGCCGGGAGGGCAGAAGGGGCGGCAGGGCGGGGGCGCGGGAGCGGCGAGUCGACCGAAUGCAAGACGUCGUCGCCGCCGCCGCCGCCGCCGGACGGAGGACGCAGGCCUCGGGCGGGCCUCAGGAGCUCGCGGCUUCUGGCUCGGGGUGGCGGGGACGGGGGUCAGGCGAGCGCGCUCACUUCUCCACACAGCCCGGUGCCCCGGCCCAGCGUCCCCGUAGAGCGCCCACUCCGCGCCGGGCCAGAGCUUCGCUCCUUCUGCCGCGGCGCGCGCCCCGCCUCUCGUUUUAUAUUCUUCUCCCUGCCCCCAAUCCCCUCCGUGGGGGUGCGCGCGCCCGCCCGCGUCACACAGCUUCGGGGCGGCGUAACCAUUCCCCGCCCUCCCCGUCCAGCACCCCGGACUCUCGCCGGCUCGCUCCACCCCGGCCCUACCCCUCGACGCCAUUGGCCAAGUCCCGCCUGCCCAUGUCCCGUCGGGCGGCGAACGGCCCGGGUGGGGGAAGGCCACACCUCCUCGGGCACCAGAAUGGCCAAUGA